GACGAACGCUGGCGGCGUGCUUAACACAUGCAAGUCGAACGGAAAGGCCCCUUUGGGGGUACUCGAGUGGCGAACGGGUGAGUAACACGUGAGUAACCUGCCCUUGACUUCGGGAUAACUUCAGGAAACUGGGGCUAAAACCGGAUAGGAAUCCUUGCUGCAUGGUGGGGGUUGGAAAGCUUCGGCGGUUUUGGAUGGACUCGCGGCUUAUCAGCUUGUUGGUGGGGUAGUGGCUUACCAAGGCUUUGACGGGUAGCCGGCCUGAGAGGGCGACCGGCCACAUUGGGACUGAGAUACGGCCCAGACUCCUACGGGAGGCAGCAGUGGGGAAUAUUGCACAAUGGGCGGAAGCCUGAUGCAGCAACGCCGCGUGCGGGAUGACGGCCUUCGGGUUGUAAACCGCUUUCAGCAGGGGCGAAGCUUGUGGUGACGGUACCUGCAGAAGAAGCACCGGCUAACUACGUG
rnacentral:rRNA from 1 species